UACGUAGGGGGCAAGCGUUGUCCGGAAUCAUUGGGCGUAAAGCGCGUGUAGGCGGCUCGAUAAGUCUGCUGUGAAAGUCCAGGGCUCAACCCUGGGAUGCCGGUGGAUACUGUCGAGCUCGAGUCCGGAAGAGGCGAGUGGAAUUCCUGGUGUAGCGGUGAAAUGCGCAGAUAUCAGGAGGAACACCGGUGGCGAAGGCGGGACUCUGGGCCGAUACUGACGCUGAGGCGCGAAAGCGUGGGGAGCAAACAGG
rnacentral:rRNA from 1 species